ACUUAGAUGAACUUCAACUACCCAAAACAAACAACCAAACAGGGAAAAUCAACCUCCUGCAAAGAAGUACUACAUACUAAGACACUUGAAAAUCUUCCUUCAAAGAACAAGAAUAAUAAAUAUCAUAUAAAA